rnacentral:piRNA from 1 species
UGACCUACUGGAGAGAAAAGCAUGGCUAC